rnacentral:rRNA from 1 species
UACAGAGGGUGCGAGCGUUAAUCGGAAUUACUGGGCGUAAAGCGCGCGUAGGCGGCUUUGCAAGUCGAGUGUGAAAUCCCCAGGCUUAACCUAGGAACUGCAUUCGAGACUGCAUGGCUAGAGUAUGGGAGAGGGAAGUGGAAUUUCAGGUGUAGCGGUGAAAUGCGUAGAUAUCUGAAGGAACAUCAGUGGCGAAAGCGACUUCCUGGACCAAUACUGACGCUCAUGUGCGAAAGCGUGGGGAGCAAACAGG